AGUAAAGUCAGCUAAUUAAGCUCUCG
rnacentral:tRNA from 1 species